UCGGAAACAAUCAUAUAAAUCUCCAUGCGGCUCGGCCUCGCUUUCCGCCGCGGCAGCCCUUCCCAGAGCACCGCCCCCGCUCCAUGAAUCGGCAUGUCGCCGUCACGCACCGCCACGCCAGAUCCGGAGCUGGCCGAGCUCCCGGCGGCCGCUGCGCCGAGUACCCACGCCGGCCGGCCUAGAUCCACUUGCGAUUACAGGUAGCUUUAACGAAGACGAGUACCUACACCAUGCGCCCCAUGCUCCUCCCUCCAUUCUUCUACGCUGAUGCUCCCAAGAGAGCGUGCUGCACUGGAGCCAUUAUAUCACCUCCAAUAUAAACCAGGAGAAGGACAUGCUCACGGGAGAAGGGAAAUCCGGAUCUAUUAUUUUACCCUGUGAAUAAUGAGGCAUCUUGCUUUACUCUCUCUGGAUCACUAUCAUCAAACUGAUCAUCUCCUACUACAAAGGAUAACACAAGGGAAAGCCCUAUAGUAGAUCUCAAAGAGGCAUUCCAAAUGAUCUUUUGCUGCCCCAAGGUGUUCAUAUUUUCUUGAACUGAUCCAAGUCCAAAUAAUGUUUGCGACAAAGUAUGGGAAAGAAUCUAUUGCUGCACAGCAGAGCUUAUGCCAGAUUGUGUGAUCAACUGGCAGGUCAUAUGCCAAGUUCCAUCAAACGUAAUUGAAUCAAUACCCCUAAUUGAAUUGCUUUCUACAUGUCCUACUGCGGUUGAAGUGAAGAUGGAACUGGUUGCAACUCAAGAUUAAGGUGCAUGCAUGUCUUCGUUUCGAGGGACGUGUCUCCACUCGGCGCCCAGCUACCUGAUGCUCCACGGAUUCUCUGAUGCCAUGCGAGACGAUGAAGAUGGAUCAGUUGUCUGACGUACAUAUUCAGAUUUAGAUGUGAAAAAGACACAUACUCUUGUAGUAUUUGCCUGCUUGUAAUGGAAAUUGUACUGACUAUCUGAGACAGAGCAACAUCGGCAAAGACAACACGAGCACCAAAAGUGA